UCAAUGGCUGUGCUCACUCUAAUCUCAUUGGUCCUUGUUCUCAGUGUCCCCUCACUAACUGGUUUCUUCGGACCCUCCAUCCAACUCAUCUCUCAAUACUCAGUGGUCUCACCUGGAGAAACUGUUCGAAUCAGUUGCUCUUGCAGGGCAAAACAAUCCAGCUAUCACAACAAUGAAAACUCCGUAAAGUUAUACAGAGAUUAUUCUGUCAUGCUGAUGGAGAAGCGUUGUUAUUACUGGAUAUUAAGCGUGACAUUUCCUCUGUCUAUUGUGGAUUCCUCUCACAAGGGAAAUUACACAUGUCGUCAAUACUACUCCUUACACAGCCAGCCC
ensembl:lncRNA